rnacentral:rRNA from 1 species
GUAGGAGCCAAGCGUUAUCCGAAUUUACUGGGCGUAAAGCGCGUGUAGGCGGCAUGGUAAGUUGGAUGUGAAAGCUCCUGGCUCAACUAGGAGAGGACGUUCAAAACUGCCAAGCUAGAGGGCGAGAGAGGGAGGUGGAAUUCCCGGUGUAGUGGUGAAAUGCGUAGAUAUCGGGAGGAACACCAGUGGCGAAGGCGGCCUCCUGGGUCGCACCUGACGCUCAGACGCGAAAGCUAGGGUAGCAAACGGGGGAUUAGAAACCCCGGUAGUCCUAGCCGUAAACGAUGUAGACUUGGUGUUGGUGGUGUAAGAGCCAUCGGUGCCCGCAGCAAACGCGAUAAGUCUACCGCCUGGGGGACUACGACCGCAAGGUUA